rnacentral:rRNA from 1 species
UAGCAUAAUCMUUAGUUUUUUAAUUGRGAACUGGAAUGAAAGGUUAUAUAAAAAAUAAUCUUUAUUUAUUUUAAAAUAUUUGAAUUUGUUUUUUUAGUAAAAAAACUAAAAUAUAUUAAAAAGACGAUAAGACCCUAUAAAGCUUUAUAACAUAAAUUUUAAUAAUAAGUUAGAAUAUUAAAUAAAUUUUUUUUUUUUUAUUUAAUUGGGGUGAUUUAAAGAUUUAAAAAACUCUUUAAUAAAUAAAUUUCAUAUUUAAAUGUUUUUUGAUCCUUAGUAUUUUAAGAGUAAUAAAAUAAGUUACUUUAGGGAUAACAGCGUAAUUUUUUUGAAGAGUUCUAAUCGAUAAAAAAGAUUGCGACCUCGAUGUUGAAUUAAGAUAAAAAUUAGGUGUAGAAGUUWAAUUUUU